CAUGAACGCUGGCGGCGUGCUUAACACAUGCAAGUCGAGCGAGAAAAGUUCUUCGGAGCUUUUCUAGCGGCGGACGGGUGAGUAACACGUGGGCAACCUGCCUCAUAGAGGGGAAUAGCCUUCCGAAAGGAAGAUUAAUACCGCAUAACAUUGUUGAAAGGCAUCUUUUAACAAUCAAAGGAGCAAUUCGCUAUGAGAUGGGCCCGCGGCGCAUUAGCUAGUUGGUGAGGUAACGGCUCACCAAGGCGACGAUGCGUAGCCGACCUGAGAGGGUGAUCGGCCACAUUGGAACUGAGACACGGUCCAGACUCCUACGGGAGGCAGCAGUGGGGAAUAUUGCACAAUGGGGGAAACCCUGAUGCAGCAACGCCGCGUGAGUGAUGAAGGUCUUCGGAUUGUAAAGCUCUGUCUUUAGGGACGAUAAUGACGGUACCUAAGGAGGAAGCCACGGCUAACUACGUGCCAGCAGCCGCAGUAACAC
rnacentral:rRNA from 1 species